CCGGGAACGCAGCAGGGCGAGUUGUUUUGCUCCACUCGUCCAGGAAGCCCUAGAUGCCGGGGGUUCAGGGUCGAGGCUGCGUUAAAGUAACGUUCUUUUCUCCCCGGGCGCGCCCUGUCUUCCUGGGCAUUCCUUGCGCUCUCCGUUCGCUUUGCAGAGAGAUCUGAGCUUCGCUGUCUCCCGGUCGGACGCUCGCAGCUGCGUUCCCGGGCUGGGGCUCCGUGCCGUCCAGGGCCGGGUCUGGGGGCCAGGACCUGCUGGGAUGACGUGAGUUGAGGAGGCUCAGCGGAAAGCGACAGGAAAGAGAACAGAGAUGACCACAUGACCAGGAAUGUUAGUAAACAUUUUCUCCUCUACGUGGAUGAAAACCUGCCUUCAGUAGAAGAGAUUGAGACAGGCAGCUGUGAGAGAGAGCAUGAGGACAUUGCCUGAGUUCCUGGAUUCAUCUGUCCCUGAAGCUGGACUAUGCCCCAGACUUCCAAGCUGAAAAAACCAGUAUAGUCCUGAGCUUUCAUUGCUUAUACUUAUUCAAGUUGGGUUUCUGUAGCUCAAAGUGUCCUGGCUAAUAUAGGAACUUCUGCAAAAUGCACAAACUUGGCCUCCAAGUCUGGAGUUUCUGAUGUGGUAGGUAUGAAAUGUAGCUGAAGCAUG
rnacentral:lncRNA from 1 species